rnacentral:rRNA from 1 species
UACGGGGGGGGUAAGCGUUGUUCGGAAUUACUGGGCGUAAAGGGCUCGUAGGCGGCCAACUAAGUCAUACGUGAAAUCCCUCAGCUUAACUGGGGAACUGCGUGUGAUACUGGAUGGCUUGGAUUUGGGAGAGGGAUGCGGAAUUCCAGGUGUAGCGGUGAAAUGCGUAGAUAUCUGGAGGAACACCGGUGGCGAAGGCGGCAUCCUGGACCGGUAUUGACGCUGAGGAGCGAAAGCAUGGGGAGCGAACAGG